rnacentral:rRNA from 1 species
AUUGAACGCUGGCGGCAGGCCUAACACAUGCAAGUCGAGCGGCAGCGGGAAAGUAGCUUGCUACUUUUGCCGGCGAGCGGCGGACGGGUGAGUAAUGCCUGGGAAAUUGCCCAGUCGAGGGGGAUAACAGUUGGAAACGACUGCUAAUACCGCAUACGCCCUACGGGGGAAAGCAGGGGACCUUCGGGCCUUGCGCGAUUGGAUAUGCCCAGGUGGGAUUAGCUAGUUGGUGAGGUAAUGGCUCACCAAGGCGACGAGCCCUAGCUGGUCUGAGAGGAUGAUCAGCCACACUGGAGCUGAGACACGGUCCAGACUCCUACGGGAGGCAGCAGUGGGGAAUAUUGCACAAUGGGGGAAACCCUGAUGCAGCCAUGCCGCGUGUGUGAAGAAGGCCUUCGGGUUGUAAAGCACUUUCAGCGAGGAGGAAAGGUUGAUGCCUAAUACGUAUCAACUGUGACGUUACUCGCAGAAGAAGCACCGGCUAACUCCGUGCCAGCCGCCGCCGUAAUAC